UUUUAACCAUUUUUGUAGUUCUUGAGCAUUAACCACAAAAUGUUUGAAUAAUUUGGUUUUCCUAUCGUAGCCAUCUUGAAAAUUGCCAAUUUACAGACGAACGCGUUUUUCAAAACUCCAUCAUUCCGCGAAACUAUAGAUCGAGUUCGAGAUUAAAUCGGUCCUGGUCGGAACACAUCGAAUCUAUUGGUGGUUAUCAAAGGAUACCGAUGAGAUAUGACCCCGCAUGAAGUUUCAAUAGAAACACCUAAAUUAUAAUCAACCGCAGUCGCUUGCUAGCUGCAUGGUCCUCGUACUGUCAGGUAUAUUGAAAUAUCCUAAAAGGAGAACCCGGAUCACACUUCCGGUAUUGGUGCGAAAAUACAAGAUAUUCUUCCGACUGCAAUUUCACCACCCGGAAGAAGCUGGAACGUGCUGGACUGCUUCAAAAAUAUCACCCGCCAGUCAAAAAUAAAAAUCUAACCCCCCCGUGAACGAACAGCACUGAAGACAUUGAUAUUUUGACCACUUUCAUCAACAAAAUGUCAUCAAGGCGUAUCGCCACUUCCGGCGUUGUCCGGCACCGGCGUUAUUUUAUAUAUUUUUUCAUUUUAAUUCGGUAGUAGUGGGAGGAGAGGGGCUUUUGAUG